CGGCCCAAACUCCUACGGGAGGCUGCAGUAGGGAAUCUUCCACAAUGGGCGAAAGCCUGAUGGAGCAACGCCGCGUGUGUGAUGAAGGCUUUCGGGUCGUAAAGCACUGUUGUAUGGGAAGAAAAGUUAAGGUAGGGAAUGACCUUAGCCUGACGGUACCAUACCAGAAAGGGACGGCUAAAUACGUGCCAGCAGCCGCGGUAAUACGUAUGUCCCGAGCGUUAUCCGGAUUUAUUGGGCGUAAAGCGAGCGCAGACGGUUGGUUAAGUCUGAUGUGAAAGCCCGGAGCUCAACUCCGGAAAGGCAUUGGAAACUGGUUAACUUGAGUGCAGUAGAGGUAAGUGGAACUCCAUGUGUAGCGGUGGAAUGCGUAGAUAUAUGGAAGAACACCAGCGGCGAAGGCGGCUUACUGGACUGUAACUGACGUUGAGGCUCGAAAGUGUGGGUAGCAAACAGGAUUAGAUACCCUGGUAGUCCACACCGUAAACGAUGAACACUAGGUGUUAGGAGGUUUCCGCCUCUUAGUGCCGAAGCUAACGCAUUAAGUGUUCCGCCUGGGGAGUACGACCGCAAGGUUGAAACUCAAAGGAAUUGACGGGGACCCGCACAAGCGGUGGAGCAUGUGGUUUAAUUCGAAGCAACGCGAAGAACCUUACCAGGUCUUGACAUCCUUUGAAGCUUUUAGAAAUAGAAGUGUUCUCUUCGGAGACAAAGUGACAGGUGGUGCAUGGUCGUCGUCAGCUCGUGUCGUGAGAUGUUGGGUUAAGUCCCGCAACGAGCGCAACCCUUAUUGUUAGUUGCCAGCAUUCAGAUGGGCACUCUAGCGAGACUGCCGGUGACAAACCGGAGGAAGGCGGGGACGACGUCAGAUCAUCAUGCCCCUUAUGACCUGGGCUACACACGUGCUACAAUGGCGUAUACAACGAGUUGCCAACCUGCGAAGGUGAGCUAAUCUCUUAAAGUACGUCUCAGUUCGGACUGCAGUCUGCAACUCGACUGCACGAAGUCGGAAUCGCUAGUAAUCGCGGAUCAGCACGCCGCGGUGAAUACGUUCCCGGGUCUUGUACACACCGCCCGUCACACCAUGGAAGUUUGUAAUGCCCAAAGCCGGUGGCCUAACCGUAAGGAGGAACCGU
rnacentral:rRNA from 1 species